AGAUAUAAUUGAGAAUGAAUUUCUCGAACACACUAACACUGAUAGCAGGUUUGGAUAAAUGGAACUUGUAGCUCCCCAUGAUUCAGGAAAUGGUUUGCUGAAAAAAUUUCAAGAUCAUUCAUACGUAGCGUAGUAUCGCUCUACGUGGGAGAAGUCUGAGUUAUGUAACUUUAUUUUAUAUUUAAUUUUAAUUGCAGUUUCGUAACAGCAUUUACUUGUCACAUAAUAAAGCUUUACUUGUUCAAUAAAGACGAACACUUCAUUGAA